UUUCGGUUCUGUGAUUGGCUCAGCUGUGGGCGGAACAUUUUUCCUUUUGUCUGGAAAACACGUGUGACCUUUUUGUACAGAGAAGCAUUUUGUCUGAAAAGACGGGACGCCAUUUUGUAAGAUGCAACGAAUAUUGGCUCUGAAUGUUUGUUCUUGAAGAUUUGUGCAAUAAUUCCUGCAGCUUCCGCGAGUUUCCAGGAAGAACGAUAACUUGAACAUGCUGGGAGUCAGAGGAAUGGUCAGCAUUCAGCCUUCUGAUGGUUUCCCCACGGCUGGACCUCCAACUUCAAGAAGCACCAUGUGAAUAGAGGCUUUGAAGUCCGGAAUCUAUUGAUGCUGCUCCUGACGUCUGGAUCUGAGCCAACCGGUCGGACUCUCCUCUGGAAGAUUGGAUGGAAUCGUCUUAGGGAAAGGGCAAAUCUAUGGCAAACUCAUAUCUAGAAACAUAAUCAA
rnacentral:lncRNA from 1 species